UACAGAGGUCUCAAGCGUUGUUCGGAAUCACUGGGCGUAAAGGGCGCGUAGGUGGCGGCCCAAGUCCAUGGUGAAAGCUCGAUGCUCAACAUCGAGUCGGCCACGGAUACUGGGUUGCUCGAGCACUGUAGGGGCAGAUGGAAUUCCGGGUGUAGCGGUGGAAUGCGUAGAGAUCCGGAAGAACACCGGUGGCGAAGGCGGCCCGCUGGGCAACUGCUGACACUGAGGCGCGACAGCGUGGGGAGCAAACAGG
rnacentral:rRNA from 1 species